AAAAUCCGGCGCACAUAUACCGAGGCCAAUGAUCGAGCCAGCUUGCUGGUGAAGUGACUGAACGAGGUUCCAGGAAAAGCCACUAAGCUUCAGCUACACACGACCGUACCGCAAACCGACACUGGUGCGCGAGAUGAGUAUUCUAAGUCGCUUGAGAGAACUCAGGAGAAGGAACUCGGCAAAUUGACACCGUAACUUCGGAAGAAGGUGUGCCCUAUUAGUGUGAAGUGAACAACGGAGCAUGAAUGGGUUGCAAAAAAUCGGUGGCUGCGACUGUUCAUUAAAAACACAGCACUCUGCAAACACGAAAGUGGACGUAUAGGGUGUGACGCCUGCCCGGUGCUGGAAGAUUAAAUGAUGGGGUGCAAGCUCUUGAUUGAAGUCCCAGUAAACGGCGGCCGUAACAAUAACGGUCCUAAGGUAGCGAAAUUCCUUGUCGGGUAAGUUCCGACCUGCACGAAUGGCGUAACGAUGGCCACACUGUCUCCUCCUGAGACUCAGCGAAGUUGAAAUGUUUGUGAUGAUGCAAUCUCCCCGCGGAAAGACGGAAAGACCCCAUGAACCUUUACUGUAGCUUUGUAUUGGACUUUGAACAGAUCUGUGUAUAGGUGGGAGGCUUUGAAGCAGGGUCGCUAGAUCUUGUGGAGCCAACGUUGAAAUACCACCCUGGUGUGUUUGAGGUUCUAACCUAGGUCCAUUAUCUGGAUCGGGGACAGUGCAUGGUAGGCAGUUUGACUGGGGCGGUCUCCUCCCAAAGCGUAACGGAGGAGUUCGAAGGUACGCUAGUUACGGUCGGACAUCGUGACGAUAGUGCAAUGGCAUAAGCGUGCUUAACUGCGAGACUGACAAGUCGAGCAGAUGCGAAAGCAGGACAUAGUGAUCCGGUGGUUCUGUAUGGAAGGGCCAUCGCUCAACGGAUAAAAGGUACUCUGGGAUAACAGGCUGAUACCGCCCAAGAGUUCAUAUCGACGGCGGUGUUUGGCACCUCGAUGUCGGCUCAUCUCAUCCUGGGGCUGUAGCCGGUCCCAAGGGUAUGGCUGUUCGCCAUUUAAAGAGGUACGUGAGCUGGGUUUAAAACGUCGUGAGACAGUUUGGUCCCUAUCUUCCGUGGGCGCUGCAGAUUUGAGGAAGCCUGCUCCUAGUACGAGAGGACCGGAGUGGACACACCUCUGGUGUAUCGGUUGUCACGCCAGUGGCAUUGCCGAGUAGCUAAGUGUGGAAGAGAUAACCGCUGAAAGCAUCUAAGCGGGAAACUCGUUUCAAGAUGAGAUCUGCCGGGGCCUUGAGCCCCCUAAAGAGUCGUUCAAGACCAGGACGUUGAUAGGUCAGGUGUGGAAGCGCAGUAAUGCGUUAAGCUAACUGAUACUAAUUGCUCGUGCGGCUUGACCC
rnacentral:rRNA from 1 species